CCUACGGGCGGCAGCAGUGGGGAAUAUUGGACAAUGGGCGAAAGCCUGAUCCAGCCAUGCCGCGUGUGUGAAGAAGGCCUUCGGGUUGUAAAGCACUUUCAGUGGGGAAGAAAGCCUUGGGGCUAAUACCCUCGAGGAAGGACAUCACCCACAGAAGAAGCACCGGCUAACUCCGUGCCAGCAGCCGCGGUAAUACGGAGGGUGCGAGCGUUAAUCGGAAUUACUGGGCGUAAAGCGCGCGUAGGCGGUCUGAUAAGCCGGUUGUGAAAGCCCCGGGCUCAACCUGGGAACGGCAUCCGGAACUGUCAGGCUAGAGUGCAGGAGAGGAAGGUAGAAUUCCCGGUGUAGCGGUGAAAUGCGUAGAGAUCGGGAGGAAUACCAGUGGCGAAGGCGGCCUUCUGGACUGACACUGACGCUGAGGUGCGAAAGCGUGGGUAGCAAACAGGAUUAGAACCCCUGUAGUC
rnacentral:rRNA from 1 species